GAGCUUUUAGAAAGGGAUGUGGUGGUCACUAAGGGUCAAGAUGUCUUCAAUAGCAGGCUUUAUCCUCCAGAAGUACAAGAUGACACAUUUCAUCAAGAUGGGUCUAGCUGCUUUGGUGCUCGCUGCCCUGGGGGUUCUGUUGGCAGAGGACUGGAACAACAGAGAUCAAGCCCAGAAAGAAGCUCUCAAAGAAAAUCCAGCUGAUGCUGAAAAGAAACUAUAAUGUAGCCAGGAGCCCUGGAAAGUCCCACAACAAUGCAGGCAGGGACAGGGCCCUUGUCUAAGCCCUGCCUGGUUCCCUACCAGCCUUUUGGGGCCCUCCCUCUGUAACACUCUGUAACUCCUCCCUGGGUGAACCAUAAACCUUGUUCAACUGCA